rnacentral:rRNA from 1 species
GAUUCCCCUAGUAACUGCGAGGAAGCGGGAAAAGCUCAAAUUUAAAAUCUGGCAGUCUUUGGCUGUCCGAGUUGUAAUCUAGAGAAGUGUUGCUCACGCUGGACCGUGUAUAAGUCUUCUGGAAUGAAGCAUCAUAGAGGGUGAGAAUCCCGUCUUUGACAUGGACUCCCAGUGUAUUGUGGCGUGCUCUCAAAGAGUCGAGUUGUUUGGGAAUGCAGCUCUAAAUGGGUGGUAACCUCCAUCUAAAGCUAAAUAUUGGCAAGAGACCGAUAGUGAACAAGUACCGUGAGGGAAAGAUGAAAAGAACUUUGGAAAGAGAGUUAAACAGUACGUGAAAUUGUUGAAAGGGAAACGCUUGAAGUCAGUCACAUUGGCCAGGGAUCAACCCAACUCUUUUGUUUGGGUGUACUUCCUGGUUUGAUGGGCCAAUGUCAGUUUUUGACUGCUAGAGAAGGGCAGAGGGAAUGUGGCACCUUUCCGGGGUGUGUUUUAUAGACUUUUGUCAUAUAUAGCAUUUGGGACUGAGGUAUGCAGCGCACCUACAGGCCGGGUUUUUGACCACGUUUUGCGCUUUGGAUAUUGGCAAUAAUGGCUUUAAUCGACCCGUCUUGAAACACGGACCAAGGAGUCUAACAUAUCUGCGAGUGUUUGGGUGGAAAACCCGAGCGCACAAUGAAAGUGAAAGUUGAGAUCCUUGUCGUGAGGAGCAUCGACGCCCGGACCUGAGCUUUUUAGCAAUGGAUCUGCGGUAGAGCAUGUAUGUUGGGACCCGAAAGAUGGUGAACUAUGCCUGAAUAGGGCGAAGCCAGAGGAAACUCUGGUGGAGGCUCGUAGCGAUUCUGACGUGCAAAUCGAUCGUCGAAUCUGGGUAUAGGGGC